rnacentral:lncRNA from 1 species
NNNNNNNNNNNNNNNNNNNNNNNNNNNNNNNNNNNNNNNNNNNNNNNNNNCAGCAGGGACAGGGGCUCUGCGGGUGCCCCGGGGUCACACCCCCCUCACCCCCUUCUCGGCACUGUCCCCCGCUGUCCCCUUGUGCCACCUCCUUGGCACUGCUUACAACCCUGCUGCCAGGCACCCUGCUGCUGGCACCCACAGGGACCGUGGAGCCCGGCACCGCCAGGGCAUCCCACGGGGCAUGGCUGGCGUGGCCAGGCCGUGCCAUGGGGCACAGGGCACGGCUGACACGGCUGCAGCGUCCCCACGGGACACAGGGCACAGCUGGUACACUCACGCUGUCCCACAGGGUGUGACCCCCUCCCUCCUCCUGGAAGGGGUCCCCAGGCACAGCCCCCGUGUCCAGCCUCAUCUCGCCAGACCGGAGCCUUCGGCACGGGCAGGUUCCUCUUGGAACUCCUCAAACCGUGCAGGUCCCCGGGCCGUGAGCACCUCCAAACCUGUCACUGGUCACUUCUGGGCCAUGGUUUUGGGGAGCAGAGCUGGCUGCUGGCCCAGUGACCAUUCACAGCUGCCCCCAUCCCUGGCUGCUGCUGGGGCCACCCCCUUUGUGCCACCCACUGCCCAUGUCCCAGUCUGGGGACACUCCCCACUGUCUGUCCCAGCUGGGGUCACCGGCCCCCCUAACGUGGGCACAGGGACAACCCAGCCCCUCCAGACUGCCCUCCUCUUCCUCAUCCCCUCAGCCUCUGAGGGGCGCAGCUGGCACGGUGACAGGGACACCUGGGGACAGCACGGUGACAGGGACAUCCAGGACAGGUGCUGUCCUGUGGCAGCUCUGUGGCCACCCUGUGCCAGCUGUGGAGAUGGGGAUGGAGACAGGCGUGGCAUUGGGAUGAAGAUGAGGGAGAUGGGGACGAUGGGGAUGGCAAAGGAUGAAGGUGGGAGUGGGAUGGGGAUGAGGCAAGAACAGUGGCUGAGGAUGGAAUGGAGGUGGGAUGAGGAAGACGAUAAAGAUGGAGAUGAGGAUGGGAGGAAGAUGGAGAUGAGGAUGGGAGGAAGAGGGAGAUGAGGAUGGGAGGAAGAUGGAGAUGAGGAUGGGAGGAAGAUGGAGAUGAGGAUGGGAGGAAGAGGGAGAU